UGUGUAGGCGGACUAGUAAGUCAGUGGUGAAAUCUUUCGGCUCAACCGAGAAACUGCCAUUGAUACUGUUAGUCUUGAGUUCGGUAGAGGUAGGCGGAAUGUGUAAUGUAGCGGUGAAAUGCUUAGAUAUUACACAGAACACCAAUUGCGUAGGCAGCUUACUAUACCGACACUGACGCUGAGGCACGAAAGCGUGGGGAGCGAACAGGAUUAGAUACCCUGGUAGUCC
rnacentral:rRNA from 1 species